UAACCUUAGUCUCCCAUUACAGAUGGAAGAGUUUGUAUCUCUAUUCUAAUAUACAUAAGUUGGAAACACAAUUGGAAAGCCUGAUUGCAUGUAUGGCAAUUUAAUGUGCCAAAAUGCACUCCGCUAAAGUUUGAACAUUCUUUACAAAUGACUCUUAUCCCAGUGCAAAUUCCUCAAGAAUUUGUGUAAAAUCCCGACCGGGCAAACUUUGUGAUAGCAAUGGUCCUGUCAUGUGGUCUAAAAGACCAGAUGGUGGGUAGCAAAAUCCGUGUUACUGUCUAUGAAUUUAAGCCCAUCUAUUUGAUUGGUAGUGCUAUAAGAUUCUUCCAGACUUGGAAAGAGUCUAAUCAUAAAGGGAUGAAGACAAGUGUUGAUUUAGAAAAUCACACCCAUCGUAGAAAUAAAAUAUAAACCAUAAAAACAAAUUGAAAUGCAAACCCUUAAGAAAAAGAACCUGUUAAACUUGGAAGACUAUUUUCUCAGUUAAAAAGAAAGGGUAUUUUAUAUGUAUUCACUAAUUUGCUGAGAGCCUAUUUUCUCAGUUUUAGAACAAUCAUACUCCCAAAAUGCCAACCAGCCUUAACUAGUUGGAAUUCCUCUCUUUGUCCCACGAUAUUUCUCAUUAAAAAAGGAAAAUGAAAUGAAAAACAAAAAUAAGGAAACUGCUAAAAUUGAAACAAAGCUUACUAAAGUUGGUUGCCCCACUGAAUGAGGCUCUUGCCAUUAUAGGAUCUGAGGAGGGUCAAAUAAACACAAUCUUGCAUCCAUACGCAGAGAUGCUGUUUUCAUGUUUUGGACCUGUGACAACCUCAUUAUAACAGAGCAACCUUGAUGUAGCUUCAUGACCCGCCCUCUUGAGCUUAAGCUUUCUUACAGUUGCAAGUUAAAAAAAUCUUGAAAAUGGUUUGUGGGGAAAAAGGCCACCUUGUGUUUUUUCAUUAAUUUAUGUUGCCUUCAGUAAAGAAUCAAUAGGUUAAAAGUGAACAAUUAAACAGCUGAUACGGUAUAACUGAAUUCUAGAAAUCAAUUGCUUUCAAGAUUGAUGUCAAUUUUUAGUCACCUAAAUCAUGGGACUUUUUGACUGCAAACAACCAUUAACUCUUGUCGCAUCAAGUUUUCUUUCCUUUUCUGUCGUUUUAUAUUUUGUAACAGAAGCUUGAGCAUUCUUGUUAUAUUACAUUUGUUGAUUCAACGACACUUAUGAUCAAGAUGAUGCAUCACUGAAAAAUAAUCAUUAUGCACAAAUUCUUAACCUGGAUAUUGGUGCUCAAAGAUAAACCAAGGGAAGAAUUACCAUCCUUGGAGAAAAUUCGACAUCGUUGCAUGAAGCAUCUCAACCAAAUGCGGCCAGAUCACAUGAGGAGAUUGAACCCAACACCAUACAAGGUGAGCGUGAGUGCGAAGUUGUAUGACUUCAUCCAUUUCCUAUGGCUCAGUGAAGCGCCGGUUGGCGAGCUGCAAUGAAUGCACAAAUAAAGCAAUUUGUGGAUGCCUUCAGGUUAUGUGGUUGUAAUAAUCUCACUAAGAAUGAUUAUAUUUUAAAGUUUCUGGAUCCUUAUAUCGAUCGAUAAGGGUGCAUUUCUUUAGCAAUUCUCUUCCAAUUUGCAAGUCUUCCAUUGCUGUAUGUUAUUUGCUCCCCAAAAGAAGUGAGUUUUAUAUUUAAGUAGUAUGACUUCAUCCAUUUCUUAUGGCUCAGUGAAGCGCCGGUUGGCGGGCUGCAAUGAAUGCACAAAUUAAGCAAUUUGUGAAUGCCUUCAGGUUAUGUGGUUGUAAUAAUCUCACUAAGAAUGAUUAUAUUUUAAAGUUUCUGGAUCCUUAUAUCGAUCAAUAAGGGCGCAUUUCUUUACAA